UCUGCCCAGAGACAGAAACAGCGAGAGGAUGAGGAGCAGCGGGAACUAAAAUGUGUACAAUCAUGCGAACAAACAUGGACCAGGAGCCGGAGCCGGAGCCAGGAUCAGGACCAGGAUCAGGACCAGGAUCAGGACGAGGAGCAGAUGGGACAGAGGGCCCAGCCCCAACCCCCCACCACUACAAUCGCAGUGAGAGCGCGCGUAGUUUGGCCCCGGCGCCGGGGGCCAAGUGUUCGUAAUGUGCUGGAUUUGAACCAGCCACAGCCGGACUCCACCACGCCAGAGAUUUGGGAAGGAGCUCCGGGCGUUUUUGAGUCUUCACUUUGGCUGUGGAACCUUAAACCUUGACCUAUAAAGGAAUUGAACCGUCAACGUCAGGACUGAAAGGCUACUCUAACCAGCUGAGCUAACUGUCCAUGCUCUUCCUCAGGUUUUCUCACACCUAUUCACUCUGUGUAGAAUAUUGGUCUUAAAAUGUUGCUUCAUCACACACGACUUUGCAGCGAGAGGGCUUCAGUUCGAGACCCAGUUGGAACAAGGGUCAUGGUCGAGUUUUUCAU